UACCAGCACCCCGAGUGGUCGGGACGAUUAUUGGGCCUAAAGCAUCCGUAGCCGGUUCUGCAAGUCCCCCGUUAAAUCCAGCUGCUCAACAGAUGGGCCGCGGAGGAUACUACAGAGCUAGGAGGCAGGAGAGGCAAGCGGUACUCAGUGGGUAGGGGUAAAAUCCGUUGAUCCAUUGAAGACCACCAGUGGCGAAGGCGGCUUGCCAGAAUGCGCUCGACGGUGAGGGAUGAAAGCUUGGGGAGCAAACCGG
rnacentral:rRNA from 1 species